UCCUACGGGAGGCAGCAGUGAGGAAUAUUGGUCAAUGGGCGGGAGCCUGAACCAGCCAAGCCGCGUGAAGGAAGAAGGCGCCAGGCGUCGUAAACUUCUUUUGUCGGGGAACAAAGGGCGCCACGCGUGGCGUUGUGAGUGUACCCGAAGAAAAAGCAUCGGCUAACUCCGUGCCAGCAGCCGCGGUAAUACGGAGGAUGCGAGCGUUAUCCGGAUUUAUUGGGUUUAAAGGGUGCGUAGGCGGUCCGGACAGUCAGCGGUAAAAGCCCGGGGCUCAACCCAGGCGAGCCGUGGAAACUGUCGGG
rnacentral:rRNA from 1 species